AACGCGAAAGAGAACAAGAAAAGACAUAAGUAUAAAGGCGAAUAUCUAGCGAAGAGCAACGCGAGAAGGAAAUACAGAAAUACGCUCCUGAAAACAGACUGAGAAGAGGUCAUCAACAAAGAGAAGCGAACUACAAAGGAUCCGAAAAAGAAGAAGAGCCCCAAAAGCCCGGCUUAUGACUCUGGAGGUACUGAACAUGAUAUAUUUGAUACACAAGGCACCCCUCAAGGAGGAAGUGUGAGAAGAUAAAACAGAAGUGUUGCAGAGUUCUCUUCCCAGACUGAAUUCAGAAAAUCGCACAGCACUGAGACAGCAUUAAUAAAAGUUCAGAAUGACAUCUUGAUGAACACGGACCGUCAGCAAGUACCUCUACUUGUAUUUCUCGAUCUCAGUGCCAUGUUUGACACUGUAGACCAUCAAGUACUAUGAAAUCGCCUUAGGUUGAGUUUUGGGAUACGUGGAUAUGCGUUAGAGUGGAUCGCG